AGGGCACCCAUUUGGCCAGUAGCGGACCUGAUUCUGCCUUAACAUUACACUUGUCACAAACGGAUGGAAAAAUUCUGGAAACAGACGUCUCAAACAGGUUUGAUGAAGUUUUACAUCCUGUAUCAGGACACAAUAUCUGUUCACGGGUUACUCAUGCUUGAGGCCUGUAACAGAAAUUUGGAGGCACCGCUGGGUUCGGCAUCUGACGAGAGUUGGUGCUGAUCUUUUAAUCAACAAACCAGGCAGACGUCGCAGGACCAGUACAGUGGAGUGGCAGGCGUGCAACUGGGGCGGCCACGAGGCGAAGAGGAGGAUUGAGCCAUUGACAUGCAGUUAUUGUAUGGGUAGCAAAAUGCCUCCAGCACCAGAAGAUUUGCCAUUACAUUCAAGAAACCACCUUCCUCCUACAAUUUCAUCUGGAACCUCAGCAAAUCCAAAAGAUGUUCAUGCUUUAAUACACAGGGUAAAGGGUGUAGAAGAUCUUUUGGCUGUGUUCAUGGAUAGCAGCAUAAUUCAAUCUACUCUGAAGAUGGAAUUUGUAAAUGAGAAUGCUGUAGAUGAUGCAGGAGUGUACAGAGAAGUUUGCACUGCAUUCUGGGAUCAGUUCCUUGAACAAUGUGAAGGGGAAGAUGAGCGUGUUCCUAGACUGAGACCAGACUUCUGUGAAGCUGAAUGGGAGGCAGUAGGAAGGAUCUGGGUAAAAGGAUUACUUGACCUUGGUGUUCUGCCACUGAGGCUUUCCAGUGCUUUCAUUUUAGCAUGCAUGCAUGGAAUUGACUCAGUCAGUGAUGAUGUCCUGAUGUCAUCGUUCCACAACUACCUCUCUCUGACUGAACGAUCUGCCAUUGCAAAGGCUCAUCAUCGCCCACUGGAGAAAUGUGAUGAAGAGGAUUUGCUUUACCUCUUGAGAAGAAAGGGCUCUCAUUGCAUCCCUCCAAAAAACACCAUGGAAGUUGUCAUCCAAACGAUGGCUCAUAAAGCAAUUCUUCAAGAUCCCAAAUAUAUAAUAGAAUAUAUGUUCCUUGCGCAGAAACCCCCACCAGUACUCCAUCCUUCGGUUGGCCGUACUUGCACCAUCCAAAUAGCUGUCAAGAGUUUCAUCUGCAUGAUUGAUGUAAAGGAAACGCUGAUCCCCCCUAACAACUCUUGGGCAUUCUCCCAAAGGCUCCACCGCUUCAAUAUAGUAACUGCCUAUUAGCUUUGGAUCGCUACUAGUUGUGUAUGCAUUAAGCCAGAUAAUCUUCCUUGAAUAGCCGUCAAUGCAACCAUUAAUACAAAUGCCGUAUGGUUUUAACUUAUCGUAUGAGUCCAAAUGCCAAAUAAUGUUGGGUCCCUUAGAAAAGUAGUUGUGCCGUCUGAGACGUCUGGCUCUCCUCACUGUAACUCCUGUAGGGUCCAGUUCCUUCAGCACCAAGCGCACAUCCUCUUGUCUCACACACAGACCCUUCUCUCUGCAUCUGGCGUACAUCUAUCGGUACCCAUGAAGUUGCCUAGAGGACUGCAGCUGACUACGGAUGCAUGAAGGAAAAAUCGGAAGUAAACAAACACUCUCGUGGCCGCGAGUACAGGGCGUUGCACAGCUCAGUGAAGCACUCUUCCUCACCAUGUUAUACAUCUACCUCAACUAUGAGCUCCAGCAACCAAAUUCCUGAAGCCCCAACCAAAGAGCGGCCUGAGUGGAGGAAGAGCCAGAGUAAAGAGUCUAAACGUCCAGCAUCCUGCUACUGCCACGCUGCCAUCUUGGAUUACUCAGUGACCGAGAGAAGAUUUGAACAGGCCGACGUUGGCAGCCGAGAGAGAAAGGAGUUAUUGAAGACGGGGCACAGGAAGUUAA